rfam:Cryobacterium roopkundense strain RuG17 contig00054, whole genome shotgun sequence.
CUGAAGGCUCUCAGCGGGCCUCCGGACGAGGGAUCAGUACCCGGCACGCGACAAGACUGGCCAUU